rnacentral:rRNA from 1 species
UGCAGAUCUUGGUGGUAGUAGCAAUUUUUCAAAUGAGAGCUUUGAAGACCGAAGAGGAGAAGGGUCCCAUGUGAACAGAAUUUGGACAUGGGUUAGUCGAUCCUAAGAGAGAGGGAUGUUCCGCAUAUGUAAGCAUUGCUUCGCUCCUCGAAAGGGAAUGGGGUUAACCUCCCCCAACCAGGACGUGGAUACUGUACGGCAACGUGAAAGAAUUCGGCCACGCAGGAGAGAGCCCUGGGAAGCGUUGUCUUUUCUUUUUAACCGCCUUUUACCCUGGAAUCAGAUUAUCUGGAGAUAGGGUUAAAUAGCGGGUAAAGCACCUUGUCUUCCGAGGUGUCCGGUGCGUUCUCGACUGCCCUUGAAAAGCCGAAGGACAGACUUAUUCACACCCCUGGUCGUACCCAUAACCGCAUCAGGUCUCCAAGGCUAGAAGCCUCUGGUCGAUAGAACAAUGUAGAUAAGGGAA